AGCUCCAAUAGCGUAUAUUAAAGUUGUUGCAGUUAAAAAGCUCGUAGUUGGAUUUCUGGCUUGUGUCCCAGGUCGGCCCGAUAGGGUCUGUUACUAGGAGACGCUUGCCAUCCUGAGGAGUAGCGUGUGUGCUAUUAAUUUAGUGUGCUCGUGAGUCCUCUCGUUUACUGUGAACAAAUUAGAGUGUUUAAAGCAGGCAAUUGCCUUGAAUACAUUAGCAUGGAAUAAUAAGAUAGGACUUCUGGUCUAUUUGUUGGUUCAGGCCUGAGGUAAUGAUUAAUAGGGAUAGUUGGGGGUAUUCAUAUUCAAUUGUCAGAGGUGAAAUUCUUGGAUUUAUGGAAGAUGAACAACUGCGAAAGCAUUUACCAAGGAUGUUUUCAUUAAUCAAGAACGAAAGUAC
rnacentral:rRNA from 1 species